rnacentral:rRNA from 1 species
CCCUUAGAUGUCCUGGGCCGCACGCGCGUGACACUGAUGCAUUCAACGAGCUUAUAACCUUGGCCGAGAGGCCUGGGCAAUCUUGUUAACGUGCAUCGUGAUAGGGAUAGAUUAUUGAAAUUAUUAAUCUUGAACGAGGAAUUCCUAGUAAACGCAGAUCAUCAAUCUGCAUUGAUUACGUCCCUGCCCUUUGUACACACCGCCCGUCGCACCUACCGAUUGGAUGGUCCGGUGAAGCCUCGGGAUUGUGGUUCUUGCCGCUUUAUUGUGGCGUGACCGCGAGAACUUGUCUAAACCUUAUCAUCUAGAGGAAGGUGAAGUCGUAACA